rnacentral:rRNA from 1 species
GAAAUGCGAUAAGUAAUGUGAAUUGCAGAAUUCAGUGAAUCAUCGAAUCUUUGAACGCACCUUGCGCUCCUCGGUAUUCCUUGGAGCAUGCCUGUUUGAGUAUCAUGAAAUUAUCAGAGCAAAUAUUUUGUUAAUUCAACUGCCUUUGCUUUGGACUUGGGGGCCUGCAGAUUUCACAGUCUGCUCCUCUUAAACGCAUUAGCUGGAUUCUCAGUGAGCUUGGUUCCACUCGGCGUGAUAAGUAUCACUCGCUGAGGACACCCGUUGAAAAAGGUGGCCAGGCUUGCGGAUGAACCGCUUCCAACGGUCUAUUGACUUAGACAAUGAAUUUACGAUCUGAUCUCAAAUCAGGUAGGACUACCCGCUGAACUUAAGCAUAUCAAUAAGCGGAGGAAAAGAAACU